rnacentral:rRNA from 1 species
AUUGCAAUAACAGGUCUGUGAUGCCCUUAGUUAUCCUAGGUCGCACGCGCCAUACAAUGUGGCGCACAACGAGUUUCCUAGGCCGAUAGGAUUGUCUAGGAGACACUGGGCAAUCUGAGAGAGCGCUACGUCUGACUGGGCUAGACUUUUGUAAUUGUUGGUCUUGAACGAGGAAUGCCUAGUAAUCGUAGGUCAUUAUCCUGCGAUGAUUAUGUCCCUGCCCUUUGUACACACCGCCCGUCGCUCCUGCCGUGGCUCGUGCCGGUGAAGAGGGGGAGGCAGCGUCAACGGAGUAACAUCUGAUUGUACGUGGAACCCCUCUGAACCUUCGCGAGUAGAGGAAGGAGAAGUCGUAACAAGGUUUUCGUAGGUGAACCUGCGAAAGGAUCAUUA